CCUACGGGAGGCAGCAGUGAGGAAUAUUGGUCAAUGGGCUUACGCCUGAACCAGCCAAGUCGCGUGAGGGAAGACUGCCCUAUGGGUUGUCAACCUCUUUUGUCAGGGAGCAAUUGGCGCUACGUGUAGCGUUAUCGAGAGUACCUGAAGAAAAAGCAUCGGCUAACUCCGUGCCAGCAGCCGCGGUAAUACGGAGGAUGCGAGCGUUAUCCGGAUUUAUUGGGUUUAAAGGGUGCGUAGGCGGAAUGCCAAGUCAGCGGUAAAAUCGCGGGGCUCAACCUCGCUCCGCCGUUGAAACUGGCGGUCUUGAGUGGGCGAGAAGUAUGCGGAAUGCGUGGUGUAGCGGUGAAAUGCAUAGAUAUCACGCAGAACUCCGAUUGCGAAGGCAGCAUACCGGCGCCCAACUGACGCUGAAGCACGAAAGCGUGGGUAUCGAACAGGAUUAGAUACCCGAGUAGUC
rnacentral:rRNA from 1 species